UAGGGAAUAUUGCACAAUGGAGGAAACUCUGAUGCAGCGACGCCGCGUGAGUGAUGAAGGCCUUCGGGUCGUAAAGCUCUGUCGUAUGGGACUAACACAAUGAAGGUACCAUGCAAGAAAGGAUCGGCUAACUUCGUGCCAGCAGCCGCGGUAAGACGAGGGAUCCUAGCGUUGUUCGGAAUUAUUGGGCGUAAAGCGGGUGUAGGUGGACUUAUAAGUCAGGUGUGAAAUCCCAGGGCUCAACCCUGGAAGUGCACUUGAUACUGCAAGUCUUGAGUGUGGUAGAGGCUAUUAGAAUUCUUGGUGUAGUGGUGAAAUACGUAGAUAUCAAGAGGAAUACCGGAGGCGAGGGCGGAUAGCUGGGCCAACACUGACACUGAGACCCGAAAGCGUGGGGAUCAAACAGGAUUAGAUACCCUGGUAGUCCCUGAGCGGGCUGGCAAGGCGCAU
rnacentral:rRNA from 1 species